AUCCAGCUGACGAGUUCAAAACAGGACGAAACGCGCGUCCUGGAU
rnacentral:hammerhead_ribozyme from 1 species